UUGAAGUCCCAAUAGAUCAUUUUAUAGAGCGGUGGUUGCCAUUUUAAAGGGAAAAAAAUUUUGAAAAGAAGGAAGAGCUGGCGCCAGGGCAGAGCUCUGUUGAGCUGAGUGCAUCCAUCUCCAGACACGGAAUCACAGCUCUGUGAGGGCCAGAGCUAUGGAAAUCGGAGGAAAUUGGACUUCACCGUGUUGGUGGCACACCCUGCCACCCUUGCCAGGAAAGGAAACGGGAAAAGGAAUCUGAGAAACCUCAGGACAAUUACAGUUCAUUUCCAUACCCUGACUGACAAUGUACUACCUCCUGCUACGGACCGACGUAAGCCUCUUGUCACACCAAGCUCUUAGGCAAAUGGAAUGGGACCAGAUGCAAGCGAUUUAAUAAGAACUUUGCAUAAGUAAUUAUUUAGUUAUUGAUUGUUGCUUGGAGCUGUAUCAUUCUGAAUGGUUCAAAAGCUUGCAUCCUAAACUAAGUGAAUAAAUUUUGCAGACAAUGUUGUCAAGAAUCAGGAGAGAAAGCACGGAGAUCUCAGGAUUUAGUUGUAAAGACGUGAAGGAUUUUUCUAUUUGUGAGAUGGCAAGCAUGUGUGAAGACCGAGCAGGAGCGGACUAUGAGGCUCUGAAAGCUAGAAGGAAUAUUCGGGAAUAUUCAGAAGAAAGAUUGUUGUUAAGACUAUUGAUAAACGAAAAGGUCUCCAACACAAUAUGGGAACAUUGUUAAUACGUUUAUGUAAAAAAAAAAAUCUAAGUAAAUAUGGCAGUUUAAAAAAUGAAGUAA
rnacentral:lncRNA from 1 species